UGUGGCAGUCUCUUCCUGUUGCCUUCAGAUCCAGAUGUGGAACUCUCAGCUGCCUCUCCAGCACCAAGUCUGCCUGCGUGCCACAAUAUUCCCCACCAGGAGGAUAAUGGACUAAACCUCUGACCUUGUCACUGGGGGGUGCUGGGGCACUGUGGUGUCAGGACUGGUCCACUAUGGACAAAGGAAUGAGGCUCUGCCCAGCCCAAAGCUGUCCAGACAGUGCACGGUAGCAGCGGAAUCGGAACCCAGAACCCCCAGCACCGAAGUUCAGACUCACACUCUUCACGCCGUUUGAACAAAAGAUGAGCAGCUCCUGGAUGAAUAUUUGGAAAUUCUAUUAUACGCUGAUUUGAAUGUGAGAGGUGAAGGUGCAGCAAACGCUUUGAUUUUUUUCCAGGUCUUUUAUAAUAAAAACCCCAAAGCCCCACGAAGGUCACUUUCCAUUUUCACA